rnacentral:rRNA from 1 species
UGAAUGAAAGCUUGCUUUCAUUCGGUUAGCGGCGGACGGGUGAGUAACACGUGGGCAACCUGCCCGUAAGACCGGGAUAACUUCGGGAAACCGGAGCUAAUACCGGAUAACACCGAAGAUCGCAUGAUCUUUGGUUGAAAGGCGGCUUUGGCUGUCACUUACGGAUGGGCCCGCGGCGCAUUAGCUAGUUGGUGAGGUAACGGCUCACCAAGGCGACGAUGCGUAGCCGACCUGAGAGGGUGAUCGGCCACACUGGGACUGAGACACGGCCCAGACUCCUACGGGAGGCAGCAGUAGGGAAUCUUCCGCAAUGGACGAAAGUCUGACGGAGCAACGCCGCGUGAGCGAAGAAGUCUUCGGAUUGUAAAGCUCUGUUGUUAGGGAAGAACAAGUACCGUUCGAAGAGGGCGGUACCGUGACGGUACCUAACGAGAAAGCCACGGCUAACUACGUGCCGCAGCCGCGGUAAUACGUAGUGGCAAGCGUUGUCCGGAAUUAUUGGGCGUAAAGCGCGCGCA